rfam:Balneola sp. EhC07 strain EhC08 A6_Contig8, whole genome shotgun sequence.
UUCUCAUCGAGAAAGGUGGAGGGAUCAGGUCCUGCGAAGCCUUGGCAACCGUCCUGUACAAAUUUGUACAGGAAAAGGUGCUACAUCCUGCUUAGUGCAAAUAAUGUACUGAGAAAGAUGAGUG